GGUGCUGGUACUGUUGGCCCAAGAACACAUUUUGAGAAGACUGGCCUAGAGGAACCAAUAAUGAGAGAAGUAACAAGAGAGGCAGAGGGAAAUGAUUCUAACAGAAGUUCUAGCCACAUGGAAGGAAGCAUUAGCAGUGAGGAAUAACUGUUCUCUCCCUAAACAUACCACCCAAGUGAACUAAUACUAAAUUAGCAUGAAGAGCAUAUGCCUGUGAUCUCAGCUAUUCGGGAUGCAGAGGCAGGAGGAUCACAUGAGCUCAGAAGCUCAAGCCCAGCCUGGGCAACGUAGAAAGACACAGACUAAAAAAGAAAAAAAGAAAUAAAGGGAAGAAAAAAAAGGAAAAAAAUUAGCAUGAACAAUUCAAGGGAGACAAGACAACUGAGCCACCUUCCUAGCCAAGAAAAACCCCAGCUUGCAAUUUACUGAAUAGAAGUGUGCCACUUGACAGAGUAGUUUUAAUGACACUGAACCUUUUGUGAGUCUUGCACUUCUCUUGGCUGAAAUCUUCAAACUGGCUCAAAGAA